UGUAGAGCCGGAUUUGCGCGGCAGAGUUGACGGCAGAAAGGGCUCCCCGGUAACCCGGCGGUGCUGGCCGCCCCGAGAGGCGCCUCGAGGGCUCCCGGAGGAGGCGGCGUGGCCGAGCGAGGAGUGCGGGGAGGCCAAUCUUUGAGCCCCGUCUGGGCGCGGCGCUGGAUGGCUGGGGUCUGCGCGCGUCCCUGCGGUCGGAGGGGCCCGAGACCAGAGCCGCCGCGCGCGCACCGCGCCAGGUCCCGGCACCUUGGCCAGUGUCUGCUAUGUAGCAGGGGUACUCUGUAAAAACUGUAGAUGGGUGAACGGAGUCGCAUCUCCCGGCCUGCACAUCAAAAUAGUUGAACCACCUCGUGUCUCAGUGCCUACUUCUGUCGUUCAAUGAGAGCAAUUGCCAGCAUAUUAGUCAGAUUUUUUUUUUUUUUUUACAUAAAAAUAAAGACAGUAAUUUUCUGAACGAG